GGGGCGGGCGCGGGCCCGGCCCACUGCGGCAGCGGCGGGCGGAGCGCAGCGGCGCCGGGUGAGGAGCGGGACAGCCCGGAGGGCUUGGCCUGGUUUGCCGUGGAGUGAGGGGCCGUCUACCCGAUCYCUUUUCCUUGCUGAGACCAGCCCGUGGCGGAGGGAGAAAAGGCGAMACUCGUCGGUCGUGAGGGGAGCGGGGGGAUCCUCCAGGCGUGGCGGGCGUUCAGCGAGGGAAGAAGGCCUGGGGAGAGGAGCAGAGAGGACCUGAGAGGGGUAUUGUGACACGGUGGUUAGUGACCCUCCUGACAGUCAUCUUCACCCGCUUACCUGCACGGGCGGCAGUUUAAAAGGACACCCACAAAACCUCAGUAUCUAAAGUUCAGUCCUUCUGCAUCUGCUCUUCCCUUGAACUGAUUGCAUCCGCCUCUGAAAAUUGGGGAACCACGAUCCUGCGUAAGAAAGCGUAGGACACGGAGAGCUCGUCAAAGCGCUCAGCCUCCUCGGUGUCCUGCGAUUUCGCCAGCCCCUGGCUUCUGUCGGGGAUCCACAUUUCUCGGGCCUUUCCCUUCCGGAGCACCAGCUGUCUUUCCUUGACCAACUGCCCAAGAAACUGCAUGCAUAAGUUCGAAGAAAUUCUGAAAGCUUAAAUCUGAAAAUAUUCUCUUUUAUAAAUGGCACACAAGCUACCCGUAAACAUGAAAAUACACCCAGGUGAUCUGUAGACAUUCCUCAAGGCAGCCUGUACUUUGUCAUGCUUGGUGACUUCGUUGCACAACUCAACUUUUCCUUCAUGAUUUCUUCAAUCAAUUAUCACUGUCACUUUGUUCUGUCAGUAGACAAGAGCYUUCUAAGCCAGUAUGCUUGGAAAAAAUCCUAAGUUUGGGAAAAAACAUGGAGUUGAAAUACUGCUAGUUUUAAAGCUUGUUACUUCUUACCAGAUUAAUGCUCUGUUUCAAGGGAAUUUACUGAGAAUUAAUUUUAAUGCAGUUUUAACUUAAUAAAAAUAUUUAUUACAUUUAAUGCCUUUCCUUGCUAGCUCAACAUCUCAUCUAACAUCUUGUGUGUGUGUGUGUGUGUGUGUGUGUGUGUUCUGUUGUUGGUUCCUUUUUUCACAUGUAGAUAAUUUAUAUGUAGAUAAUACAUAGGUAUUUUGGGCUUUACAGUAUCUUUUAUCUUCUCCAUUCUGCAAGCUCACAUCUUGCUUUUCAUCCUUUUUUCAAAGGAGUUUGCUUCUCUUUUCCAUUCCUUCUUCUCCUUCUCCUUCUCCUUCUCCUUCUCCUUCUCCUUCUCCUUCUCCUUCUCCUUCUCCUUCUCCUUCUCCUUCUCCUUCUCCUUCCCCUUCUCCUUUUUUUCUUUUUUUAAAUGCCAGUUAAUUACAUGUUCAGCCUUAGCUUUUGCUUUUUUUUUUUUUUCCUUAAAAAGUAUUUAUUUAUGUCUCUGCUUAUUUUUAGACAGUAUUCCUUGCUGCAGUGAUGUGGAAAUAUAAAAUGUGAUUUUGUUUAAUCCAAACAGAGCUUAUUUCUGUUCAAAGUAAUGAAUAGGAUAAAACUGGCAUCAGCCUGUUUUCUCUGGCCUUAAAAAAAAGGCCGUUGCUUCUGUCUGGGAAGAACGAGAUGUGCUCGUACAGGUACAGCAGUAAGUCUGGAACAGCCUUGUUUGUGCCAAGCAAGGUGCAGUAGAGUAACCUUGUAGUUAAUGGUGAACAGCUUAUGGGACCUUGGACUGAUCGCUAUGUGGUCUGGGAGAAUGAGCAGUAUCACUGUGCUUUAGCCAAGCUUCUCUUGGGUCCCGUGUAUUGACAUCUUCCCCCAUUAUCAUAUUUUGAUUUACUUAUCAACCCAUGGGUCAUGCAAUUCAUAAGAUGAAGUUGGUAUGUAUAAUAGUGAAGGUGGAGAGAUGUGAUUAUAAGUUUUGGUGGCUCUUUUUCUUUUAUACCCUUUGUUAAACAUUUCAGUUAGAAACAACCUCUUUUAUCAGUAGUUAGCUUGCAGCCCUGCUCUAGUUGUUUCAUGCCUUUUGAAUACAUUAAAGCUCUUUGCCCGUGUCACUUUAUCAGAAUAAAAAAAAUGGUACUAAGGUAAAGGAUAAAAAUCAGGAUGAAGAAUUAAUGAAUGACAAACACAAACUGUUUUUGGAGGAAAGUUCAAGAACAUGAAAAUGUAGGCACAGGAAGUUCAGAGUUCUUACACCUUUUUCCUCAUGUUUCUGGUUCUUCUGGUUGAACUCAAUACAGUGCAUCUAAAGUUUAGAAGAAGAAAGCUGAAAAUUCCUAGGCUAGGAAGCAACUUCAGGCAUGCAGAGCUGGCUGCAUAAAAUCCAAUCCCCUCAGAAUUUUUGAUAAUUUCUGUUCAUGGUGAAGUGGUGAAUUCUAGCUGUUUUUUAGACAUAUGCAGUUACUUUUUAUUAGUCUUUGUACGUAACACUGAAUAACAUAUCUUAUUGUCCACUUGGUCUUGUAGUAAAGCCAUGUAUAAAAUGGAACAGCACUCUGUAGUGUAAGCAGUAAACACACUGCCAGCCAAGUGUUGUGGCUCACAAAAAGACAAAAUAUUUCCCCUGAUCUGCAGCUGGAGCCCAGAUGGUGCAAUCAGGUAGAACUGGUUAUCAAGCAAGAAGUGAUCUGAUCCUUUUUUCUAAAUUCCUUUAUGAUGCUAGAAGAAUUCUGAAUUACUCUUAUAUCAUAUGUGCUCUUUCAUCUUCAGAGUAAACAAAUUUCAAUCUCUUUGGAUUCUUAUCUCACUGGAGGCUUGCUGUGCUCUUGAUCUUUUUCAGGCUUGAAGUUUGCUAUUUCUGUUAGAGGCACAAAAAAGGAAACUGCUAUGCAUGAGAGCCAGCCAGCAUUAUUUCCAAUGAACCAGCUGCUUUAUGAGAAAAUGUUCUCUCUCUUUUCCAGCUUUGCCUCAUGUGACCAUUCUUACUGUUUGCUCAAUAUAAUGUUUGUUUCUGCAAUCUUUUUUCUGAAAUGGAGAGAUCCCUCUGUUUUGCUGAGUGUGUUUCUUAGUAGAACUGCCAGUGUUGAUUUUUUUUUUUUUGUUCUACCAAAAUUGGCAGUUGCAGGGAAAGUAUGAAGCUACUUUGUAGAUUCAAAUAAUGCUUUGAAUGUUCUCAUCACUUCUCCAAGUUGGUAAGUUGAGGUAUCUUUUUACUGAAUCUUUAGUUGUACAAAAAUCCCAUGUCUGAAAAGUGGUCCAUAAUUACAUUAGUGGUCAUCUGCARUUUAAAAAGCUUGUUUUAAUCUUGGUCACAGUGUGCAGUUGUCUCUGGGACUACUUUAUGUAGCAAAAGUGCCCUAGCUUUAAGAAAACUUCAGAGUAAAUUCUUUUAAACUGAUCUUUUCUGUUAUCUGGUUUACAAAACCUUUUGUAGAACUAAGAGGGAGUAAUGGGGUGGACUAUAGGCAAGAACUUCAUAAAUUGUUUUUGCUACAAGAGUGACGAUUUAUAAAACCGCAGAACAACAUCUGUGAGCCAAGUGGUCCUUUCAGGUGUGAGAAAGGAAACAUUUUAAUGAGUUAGGAUGAGCUGUCUUUCUUUUAUUMUUUGGGUAGUAAAUGAAAGACAUAUCUACACAUAAGUGGCAAUUUCAUUUUUUCAGUGUGGUAUAGAGCACAGAUUUCCAUCAUUCAUUUCAACACUCAUUUUGAGUGAAUAGCAAGUGUAUUCUAUGGAAAGCUAUUUAUUUUCCUCAAUACAUGAGUUAUGAAUCAUUCAUGUUUUUCUUGUAGGUAAAUAUGCCAAGAUCAUGUGAUUGCCAACUCGAUAGUGGUUAGGAAUUAUUUCAUUAGUGUCUAGGAUAAAAUAGAAAAAGAAAUAUGAAUGUGCAUAAUCACAGCGACUGGCUCAGCUGGAAUCUUUGUUCCUUUGAAGAGCAUCAUUGAGAAGCAUGGUACCAAAGAUUGCCUUGUGACAGGAGCUGGAAAAAAAGGGUGAGGAAGAAGAAAAAUCUGAAGAUUAUAAAAACAAAACGAAAGACAAAGAAGGUGAAGAUGAUGAAGCAGCAGAAGAACCAGAGGAAUAUGAUGAAGAAGAGCAUGAAGACGUAUAAUGUUAGUUUUCCUCUUUACAUGAAGUCAGAUCCAUCAUUGAUAGUGUGUUGGCUGGCAAAGAAAUGUCCCUAAUUCCCAAUAAGGGAGAGUUGUUGUGGGAGAAAUUAUUAUUCAUGAUCUUUGCUGCACUGCAUUACAUUACACUUAAUUUAUGUGUGUGUUCUAGACUCGUUACUCACAAAGACCUCUGAAAAAAAAUCUUCUACACAGUAAUGUGUUCUGACACAAUAUAUACAAUUACUCCUUCUUAUCACUAAAACAGUGAUGCCUCUUGUUUCGUAUAUGUCAGAACUUCAUUACAAGAUUUUCCUUUUUCUUUCCCAAGAAUUUAUUACUUCCCAAGAAUCUAUUUUAAAAUAUGGUUGCUCAAGUGCUGUUUAAAUCAUGUUUCUUUUAUAAAUUAUUUCCACGCAUACAGUGAUAGAUGUUUCCUUUUUCCAUUGGUUUAGGAAAAUGCUACAUUUCUUCCUAUUUUGAAGAUGGAGAUGACUUUGGUGCAGUCAGUGAUGACAAUAUGGAUGAAGAAACAUACUGUUGUUAAUAGAUGUUGCACUGCUCAAGCCGUACACCACUUGAGGCAGAAUUCUGGAGGCAGGCUGAGUAUCACUAGGCCUAAUACUUUAGCUCUGUUGGUUUUAAGCAGACUCCCCAAAACCACAUUGGAGUUUAAGUGUACUAUGCUGUUAAAAAAGAUAUGUGUCGCUGUUGAGACAGAUUGCGACACGAAAUAACAGACACAGACAGACAACUAUGACUACGACAACUACAACUACUUUAUUACGGGGCUGAGCCCCUUUUAUCUAUUUAGCAACAAGUGUAUACUAAGUCUUCCGCAUUUGUGGCAAACAUACAUUGGCUAGUAAAGCAGCUGCUUUUCUACUCAUCAGCAUAUUAUUGGUAUAUUUGCAAAAGUUGCAAUGUCAUUAAUGUUUUGUGUUAUUGCUUCUGUCUUUGGACAUCUGUUUUAUCUGUUCAACAUUCUAUUCUCCUUUUCCCAGAGGCAGGCAAGGACGUGUUGUUUAUGGUAGCAUACUCCUCCAUGCAGGCUGUUAAACUCCCUUCUGUUUCCCAGGUCUCAGGGGUACGCUGUUAUUGGUCCAAUUUCAGAUUCAGGACCUGUAAGGCCACAAUGCUGGCUUUCGGCCUCCACAGAUAUGAACUCCUUUGUUUUGUUCUUUUGUCAAGUGUAUUGCAGACAUGCCUUUUUAAGGUCCUCUGGAAUGCCUACUCAUAGAGUAAGCUAUAUGCCAUUUUGUUUCCUUUGCACAGAAAAGUAUAGACUUUACUUGAAAUUAUGUCUAAACGUUGGCACUAGUCCAUUCUAUACCUCAACAGUCAAAUCUUUAAACAAACAAUGAAAUUCUUGAUGACUGCAGUAAAAAAAAAGGUCUUUAUGGACAUAAGAUGCCCGAAGAUCUUUACGUAACUUCUGAGCUCAGGUGACUGAAARUAAUUGACAACUAAGCACUUUAAUAUAAACUUGGAAGGACCUUAAUAAUACUAACAACAUAACCUGAAGAACCAUUAAUCUAGUGAGAACACAUUGCCUUUAGUAUUUUGUUAAAAAGGAACAUAACAAUAACAAUAAAAUAUGUUAUAUUACCUUUAUGAAUUAGCCUAAAUCAUAAUUAAGGACAUUUUGACUUAGAAAAAAUAUAUGGCAGAAAUUGAGAAAUUACAGAAUCCUGGUUUACACCAGUACACUCAUUAGUGAUGAAAAUUUCAGUCCUUUGCUUCAGUUCCUCCAUCUUUUAGGGCAGUACUUUCCUACCUCACAGACCUAUUAAGAGACCUGUAAGAUGGUAGCUAUCUACGUAAUUGUUGAUGUACUUGUUUACUUUCCUACAGAACAAAGAAGACAUAAAAGGACAAUAAAUCAGUAACAAAUAAACCCCAAAAUACAGAAAAGGAACAUGGUGUAGUAUUUUAUUGCAUGGCGUUUUAAUUAGAAAAACAAGAGGAUGCUGGGAAAAACAAAACCCAAAUGUUUGGAAAUAUCCCUUUUACACAAACCAACAAAUGAAGUAUUGAAACUUUUUACUAUGAUCAGACAUUUGAAGAAUACUGUUACUGACAGUACAUUCUCUGUGUUCUAUUGUCUUUGAUAGUAAUAAAAAUUACUGUUUUAUUUAUUGGUCAGAGUUGUUGUGUUUUUUUUGUUGGUGGUUUUGAGGUUUUUUUUUAAAUU